rfam:Pichia pastoris GS115 chromosome 1, complete sequence
CGCUGCGACCAUACCUAGCAGGAAGCACCGUUUUCCGUCCGAUCAAUCGUAGUUAAGCCGCCAAGAGACUGACCUAGUAGUGUGGUGGGAGACCAUACGCGAAAUUGCAUUCUAUCUU